AGUGUUGUGGUAGUGAGGUCGAAUUUUUGUAAAGGGGGUGAGGAAGGGUUUGUUUCAGAGUUGUGAGGUUCAGAGGGAGUUGGGAUAGAGAUAGUAGGUUCGGAGGGAGUUGGGAUAGAGAUAGUGGGUUUAGAAGGAGUAUAGGUAAAAGAUGGUUGAGGUAGAGAGGAAGAUAUUUGCUUUAAAAUAGAAGAUAAAGGAGUUUCAGGGAGAUGAGACUUACUAGAGGCAGAAGAGUCUAGAGGCACAUGCGUUCUGGUUGAAGGUUCUCCCAGCUUCAGAGUUUUCUUCUUCGACUUCCUCUCAGAGGGCUCUCUCAUCCUAUUCAUCAAGUUGGGUGGAUGUUAUGGUAUUCAAUCCACAGAGAAAUUUGAGAUGUCAACACCUUAAUACGCCAAGUCUUGGAGGUAAUGAGCAAUAACCUCUAGGGGAUCUAUCUUGGAGAAAAGAUAUAUUGCAUGAGGUAUCUUCCUUUGAUCCUUAAAGCCUCACAAGAGGUGUCCAGAGUGGGUUUGACUAAGACUCUGUCAAUGACCCUCAUGCUCUUCAUAUUUCUAGAAUUCAGAAGCUUACCAACAUCCAGAGUUACGUCUUCCAUCAUAUUGAUGAAGAUCAAAUGGUCCACUAUCCCACUCUCUAUCAGGACGUCAAAGAUGAGUCUUCCUAGAGGUGUGUAGUUUAUGGGCUUCAUAUGUUUUCUUGUAUCCCUAACUGAAUCCCUCAGAUACUUGAAAGCAGGGAGGGCAGAUUCAACUUCAACCCCUUGUGGAUGCAAUACAAGAUACACUUCUGAUCUGUAUUGAUGUAGUCAAAUGAGUUUGAAGUUGGACGAUGGUGAAUGGUGCCAAGAAUAAUCUUCAACCAGACCCCCAAAUUCAGGUGAAGUUCCUUGUUCUUGGAGGUUUUCCCUUCUGUAUUCUGUUUGAAGAUUGUGGGGACUAUCUCCUGAGAAAUGUAUUUUUCCCUAGGGUUGAUAUUAUAGAUCCUUCUGCCCUCAGUUCUCUCCAUGUCCAGAAGCUUGGUGAUAGACUUUUCAGGGAUGACCAUUUUAACGCCCAGGACAUAAGAAACAAUGCAAUGGUCAUCACAAUCUACAAAUCUCUAGAUUUCCUUAACGAGGAAGGUUUCGACAGGACCGUAGAGCCUCUGGAAAUAAUGUCCUCGGCCUUACUUCUCAAGUUCUACAGUGAGAUCAAUGCCAUUACGCUUUAGGUUGUCAAAGUCCAUUAGAGAUUCACAGAGAACUUCCAACUUUUCAAAUGGCGUUGCAAGGUUAAUGUGAGGGGGUGAUCAAGAACAUGAGGUUCCUUGUAAGUUGUUAUUGAGGUUCUAGCAGUUUGAGGAGUUUUUUGUUGUGGGACUUCAGUACGUUGUUCAGUUGCUUCCUUUUGUUGAGAAUAGUUGUAGACCUGUUGUUGUCGAGAAUCCAUUUGGAGAAGAUGAAGAUUGUUGUUGUUGAUGAAGGUUGAAGAAUAUUGAAGAAGUUGCAGAGAAUUUGAGCGCAAGAGGGUUUGUGUUGGUUUGUGAGUGAAAAGUGUGAAAUGAGAAAUAUGAAAAAAAAUAUAUACACGACAUUUAGCAUGAAAAACAACAGCGUUUAAGGAGAAUAGAAAACAUCAAAAUUAAUUAGUUCAGAAUUUUGAGUUGACACGCUUGGGGAGAAUUAAUUGCAGUUAAUGGUGGUUGUCUAAUCUCAAGAAUAUGCAUAGUGCUCGAGGAGAUCUCAACAACUUGGCUCUUGAGUUCUGAGUUAGACAAUUGUCUAGAAGAUCCAAAGUCACACGUUUGAGAAACCACGUGUUGAUGUUUCUGACAUCAAGAAUACCAAAGGGUUUCUGACUCAGAGAGAUUCUAAUCCAGAUAACAUCUAACUGGUAGAAGUAUCAGAAUCAGAACCAGAUGACCAACAAUGAUUAAGUCAAAGUCUAUUUUAACAGAUCAAAAGAGAAGCACGAGUUCAAAAUUAUUCUGGGCAAUCUGCCAUGUUUAAAUGUUUCAGAUUGAAGGAAAAUCUAUCUUCAGCUAAUGGUUUUGUGAAGAUAUCAACCCAUUGAUGGCCUGUAUCUAUGAAUUUUAAACUUAUUACCCCUUUCUAAACAUAUUCUCUGAUAAAAUGAUGUUUAACUUCUAUGUGCUUCACGCUGGAAUGUAAAAUAGGGUUCUUACUUAAGCAUAUAUGGCAGCAGUAUUGUCAAAAAAGAUAGGGAUGUUACUCUCAUAUAUCUGAAAGUCCUCAAGCUGGUUUUUCAUCCAGAGCAUAUGAGUAUUGCAUAAUGAAGCUAAGACUUAUUAUGCUUCUGCAGUUGAGAGUGUAAUGGUUGAUUGUCUUUUGCUAGCCCAUGAGAUGAGGUUUCCUCCCAGAAGUUGACAGUUCCCAGAUGUGCUUUUACGUUCCAAUCUGUAUCCAGCAUAAUCUGCUUUAUAAUACCCAGAAAGCAUAUACUCUGAUGUUUUCUUAUACCAGGUUAGGUGUUCCUUUCAGAACCUUAGGAUUCUCUUAACAACAGUUAAGUGAGUUUCCCUUGGAUCUGACUGGAAUCUGGCACAGAGACACACGCUGAAUAAUAUAUUUGGAUGUGUAGCAGUCAGAUAAAGAAGAGAACCUAUCAUACAACGAUAGAGUUUUUGACAAACCUUUUGACUUACCUCUUCUUUCUCCAGAAUGCAAGUGGGGUGCAUGGGAGUCUUUGUUGGUUUGCUUUCUGACAUUUCAAACUUCUUCAGAAUGUCUUUUAUGUCUUUUCUUUGAUAUACAUAAGUAGCAUCUUAUGUUUGAUUGAUUUGAAUUCCCAUAAAGAACUUUAGUUCUUGCAUCAAACUCAUUUCAAAUUCAGACUGCAUUAGCUCAGAAAAUUCUUUACAGACAAAGGGGUUAGCAAAACCAAAAAUUAUGUCAUCAACAUAUAUCUGACAUAUCAUAAGGUAGUUUUUGAUGUUUUUACAGAAUAGAGUGGAAUUGACUUUGCCUCUGAUAAAAUCAUUUUCCAGAAGAAAAGAACUUAGUCUUUCAUACCAAGCACUGGGAGCUUGUUUCAGACCAUAAAGAGAUUUUUUCAGUUUAAAAACAUGUUCUUUACAUUUUGAGUUUUCAAAAAUAGGAGGCUGAUGAACAUACACCUCUUCUGAAAUAUAUCCAUUCAGAAACGCACUUUUGACAUCAAUCUGAUAUAGUUUGAUGGAGUAAUCUGCAGCAACUGAUACAUGUAGAUGGAUAUAUUCUAACCUGACGACUGGAGAAAAGGUUUCAUUGUAGUCAAUACCUUCUUGUUGAUUGUAACCUUGUGCCACCAGUCAUGCUUUAUUUCUGACCACUUCACCCUUUUCAUUGAGUUUGUUUCUGUACACCCAUUUGGUUCUAAUCACGUGGGUUCCCUUGAGUUUUGGUACAAGAUCCCAGACAUCAUUCUUUGCAAAUUUAUCAAGUUCUUCUUCCAUUUCCAGAAUCCAUUCUUUGUCUUGAAGUGCUUCUUCACAGGAUGUUGGCUCUAGCACAGAUACUAGUCCCAGAAGGGUUUCUUCAGAAUCUUUGAAUGUUGAUCUCGUUAUGACACGUUCGUUUUUGUUCCCCAAAAUCAAUUCUUCAAAAAAGUUUUGUAUUUCUUGAUCUUUUCUAAUUUAUUGUGUCUUUAGGUGCUUCUGACGUUCCCUUUUCUGCUUCUUCAGAUUCUGCAAAAUUUUCAACUAGCUUUGACUUUUCAGAGUCAAGCUUAUCAUCAAAUAUGACAUGUAUUGAUUCUUUCACAAUUAGUGUUUAUGUAUUGUAUACUCUAUAACCUUUAGAGUGUUCUGAGUAUCCCAACAUAAUACAUUUUUGUGCUUUAGAGUCAAACUUGUUCAGAUUAUCUUUAGUAUUUAGGAUAAAACAAGGACAUCCAAAAGGAUGAAAAUAGGAAAUGUUGGGUUUUCUUCCCUUACACAAUUCAUAAGGAGUCUUCUCUAGAAUAGGUCUAAUAGAGAUUCUAUUCUAAAUAUAACACAUUGUAUUCACAGCUUCAACCCAGAAGUGCUUAGCUAUGUUUGUUUCAUUGAUCAUGGUUCUGGGCAUUUCUUGGAGAGUCAUAUCCUUCCUUUCUACAACUCAAUCAUGGGAUAUUCCAUUAGAAUCAAAAAGCUCUUCAAAAAUUUUGUUUUCAAAUUCGCCACCAUGAUGACUUCUGACUCUAAUGAUUUUAGAGUCAAAUUCAUUUUGCACUUUUGAGCAGAAACUCAUGAACACAGAAUGUGACUAAUCCUUGUGUCUUAGGAAUCUUACCCAUGUCCAACGACUAUAAUCAUCAACAAUGACAAGUCCAUACUUUUUACCAUUUACUGACAUUGUCUUAACAGGUCUAAACAAGUUAAUGUGUAGAAGUUCCAAAGGCUUAGAGGUAGAAACAAAAUUUUUAUUUUUGAAAGUUAUUUAAGAAAAUUUUCCCUUAUAACAUUCCUCAGAAAGAGAAUCUGAAGAAAACUUCAGCUUAGGUAGGCCUCUGACUAACUCAAGUUUAUUUAGCUGCGAAAUUCUCCUCAUGCUAAUGUGACCCAAGCGUCUAUGCCACACUCAUUGCUCUUCAUUUACAGACAUUAAACAUUUUACAUUUUGAUCUUUUAGAUCUGAAAGCUUAAUUUUGUAGAUGUUGUUCUUCCUCUUACUAGUGAAAAGGACUGUGCCAUUUUUCUAAUUAAUCGCUUUGCACGUUUUUUGAUUAAAGGUUACAUCAUAACCGUUAUCACUUAAUUGACUUAUGGAUAACAAGUUAUGCAUUAAUCCUUCUACGUAAAAAACAUCAGAAAUAGGGGAAGAGAUCCAUUACUAACCGUUCCAGAUCCUCUGAUUCUUCCUUUAUGAUUUCCUCCAAAGCCUACGAAGCCAGCGUCUUUAAGUUCCAGGAUUUAAAACAUAUGCUUUCUUCCUGUCAUGUGUCGCGAGCAUCCAGAGUCCAAGUACCAUGUUUGGUGUUUUAACUCUGUUGCACAAGAUAUCUGCAACAUAUACUAUUUUAUCUUUUGGUACCCAGAAUCUUUUGGGUCCUUUAUGAUUAGUUCUCCCAGAGUUUCUGGAAAAUUUGGGUUUUCUGGCACUAUUAAAUCUUUGUGUUUAUGCAUGUGUGUAAUGAUAAGAAAAAGGAGAUUUGGGUUUGUCUUCUACAAAAGGUAUUUGCUCAUCUUCAUCAGAGUCAUAUCCAAUUCCUUUUUUCUUAUUGUGACUAACACCAUAAAUCAUUGAAGCCAUUUUGCUUCUUUCAAGCCCAUUUUUCAAAAAUUUCUGAAAAGUUUUUUCAUAUUUGUAUAUGAUGGUGUCAGAAGUUGGUGGACCUUUGGAAAGAAUUUCUUCAAGUUUUAAACAUUUUUUGGUUGAAAAUUCAUUUUCUUUUUCAAGGACAAAAAUGUUUCCUUUAAGUUCAAAAACUUCUUUCUCAAGCUUAUCACACUCUUCAACAGUUUCUUCAUGGACCCUUUUUAGGAUCUUGAAUUUAUGUUGAAAAUUCAUUUUCUUUUUCAAGGACAAAAAUGUUUCCUUUAAGUUCAAAAACUUCUUUCUCAAGCUUAUCACACUCUUCAACAGUUUCUUCAUGGACCCUUUUUAGGAUCUUGAAUUUAUGUUGAAGCUUAUGAUAAGAGCUUAAAGAUUCUAAUAAUCAGGCUUCCAGAUCAGAGCAAGAGAAAUCAGAAAAUACCUCUUCGGAGUCAGAUUCUUUUUCGGUUGAACUUCCGGAUGUGGUAGCCAUGAAUGCAACAUUUGCUUGUUCCUCUUCAGAGUCUGAUUCUGAAGCGUCAGAUUCAGAGUCAUCUUAGGUUUCCAUGAGCCCCUUCUUAGUUUUGAAGGAGUUUUUCUUGAAUCCUUCUUUUCUGGAACUAUCUUUCUUGAGCUUUGGGAAUUCAUUUCUGUAGUGUCAUAGUUUUUUACAUUCAUAGCAGGUUACCUCUUUGUUUGGUAUGCCUCUGGAAGUUGACUCAGAACAAUCUCCCUUCUGUCUGGAUCUUCUAAAGUUGUUAUUCCUUUUUCUCCAGAGUUGUUUGACUCUUCUGGAUAAAAGAGAUAACUCUUAUUCAUCAUCAGAAUCUUCAUUUUCAGAGUCAUCAUCAUCUUUUUCUUCAGCUUGAAAGGCUUUGUUCCUUUCUGGCUUUCGUCUUUCUGAUCUGGACUUCAGAGCCGCUGAUUUCCUUUUCUUUUGAAGUUCGUCUUCCUCUAGCUCUAUCUCAUGUCUCCUAAGGGAGAUAAUGAGUUCUUCCAGGCUUAUGUUGUUCAGAUUCUUGGAUGACUUUAAGGCAUUAACCAUAGGUCUCCAUUUCUUUGGAAGACUUCUGAUUAUCUUUUUGACAUGAUCUGCAGUUGUGUAUCCUUUGUCUAGAACCUUGAGUCCUACAACUAAAGUUUGGAAUCUAGAAAACAUUACCUCUAUAGCUUCAUCAUCCUCCAUUCUGAAGGCUUCAUAUUUUUGGAUUAAGGCCAAAGCCUUAGUCUCUUUGACUUGAUUAUUUCCUUCGUGAGUCAUCUUUAAGGAAUCAAGGAUCUCUUUCGUUGUUUCCUUUUGGUGAUUUUUUCGUACUCAUUGUAGGAUAUGUCAUUCAACAGAAUAGUUCUGGCUUUGUGGUGAUUCUUGAAAUCACAUUUUUGAUAAUCAAUCAUUUUACUUCUGGUAAUGACAAUACCAGUAUCAGAUAUAGGUGGUUCAUAACCGUUUAUAACAAUGUCCCAUAGGUCAGCGUCAUAGCCUAGGAAGAAGCUUUCAAUUCUAUCAUUCCAAUAGUCGAAUUUCUUUCCAUCGAACACUAGAGGUUUAACGUUGUAGCUAUCUCUUUCAUUUGUGUUAGCCAUGAUAUUUUUCUCACGAUGGAUCUCUCUACACAGUUAAGUGUUAGAUUCAAAAGUCAAUAUUAGAGCCGAAGCUCUAAUACCAAUUGAAGGUAGAGAAAAACAAGAAAUGGGGGUUUGAAUUAUUUUCACGGACAAUAAUUUUUUUAACAAUGCUACACACACAAAGAUAAUAACAAACAACACAAAAGUUUAUCCUCGUAAACUUGAAAAACAAAGUUACUCUAGUCCACUUGGCCAAGGUGUUUUUUCCUUCAAUAAGGACUUAAUUCAAUAAUCUAGAAAGAUUACAACAAUCGUCUAAGAGUAUAAUGAUCUAUUAGCCCUCUCAAGUCUACAGACUUCACAAGUCACUUGAGGAAAUAUAUAAUGACUAUUUUAGAAUUACAAGAAAGUGUUUAGUGCUUCUAGAUAAGCAAUAUGAACAUAGUAAGAACAAUGAUCAAUGAUCACACUUAGAGCAAUAACUCGUGUGUGAUGACUUAAAGCAAGAAUUUUGUAUAUGACUUAAUUUGGAUGUGCAGAAUUAUUGUGUAAUAGCUUCGUAUCUUGGUAUGAUGAUAGUUAGGCCUUUUUAUAGUGCUUGGAGAUGAUACCGUUGAAUGGAGCAUUGAUGCUGAUAUCUUGCCAAUUAUGGGACUUAAUGACAUUAAUUUUAUUGUCCUUUCCAUAGCAGUUUUUGGAGAGUAUUCAAUAUUUUCCAUAUGGAGAUUCAUACCAUACUUGUAAUACUUCUUUGUUAAGUUCUUGAUUCUGAUAUGUUGGGCGUGAUUCAGAGUGCGCGAAAUUCAGACUCUUUUCUCAUAUCUUGUAUUCUUCAGAUAGUUGUCUGUUGUGUCUUCUUCGGAGGGUCUUGACUGAUCUUCAAUUAGAAAUUCUUCUGAUGUAAGGAUCCUUAGAGUUGUCAUAUGUCUUUAGAUGCAGAGUUUCCAGAGUCUUCAGAUGACAGAUUAUGUGAGUGAUUCUUUUAGACAUGCUUAUCUUCAGCGUCAGAUAAGAUAUCUUUAACUCUGACUUAGCUAUUCUCGCCUUGGUGUGAUGUCAGGUGUUGUUUCAUUAGAUUUAUUUUUUGUUAGAGUCCUGCACACUUAGAAAAUUUUAUUAAGAUACCAAAAUGUUUCACUCUUUGUUAUCAUCAAAACUUAGAGAUAAAUUGCAGAAUCAAAAUCUUGUUCUAACACUUAUCAAACGUUUGUUGUCCAUCAAAUAAUUUUCUUAAAUAAUUUGAAUGAAAAAGGACCAUAGGAGUCUAGAAUUCCGUGGGAACCCUAAAUGAUUGGUUUGAGAUUGAUGUCUCGUUUCUAUUCAAUCAUUCGUCAUUCACUUAUAAAACAAUCCAACAAAUCAAACUCUUUUUCUCGCCGCUGUGUGAUCUUCAAAACCUUUUUCAAACGAAAGAUAUUUUGUCUUGGCAUGAUGCAAAACAAAGCUUCGUUCACAGUCGUGUGAGUUGAGAUAAGUGAAGGUUUCCCGAGAAUGUUAAUAUGUAAAAAUUAAUUUAAUGUGAUGCAAAUGCCUGCUCUUCACCUGUUUUGGGUAAGUAACAUUUUUCCGUGAUUGAAACAAACAUUUUCUACUCAGAGCUAUGUAGCCUUGAGUUCUUCAACGCACCAAAAGAUACGUAGAAGCAAGACCCGUAAUCUCGUCAGGCACAAUAAUAAAAAAACUUUUUUGCGACCCCUUUCUUUUUCUCUUUUCUCUUUUAAUAACUCGAAGAAAACAAAUGACAUAAGUUAACAUUCAAUCGCAAGUAUAACUAAAAGGUUCCCAUUUAGUACAACGGAUGUGAGAAGUGCUAAUACCUUCCCCUUGCAUAAUCGACUCCCGAACCCAAAUAUGGUUGCGACGACCAUUUUCGUUUUUAAAGGUUUUAUUGAUAUUUUUCUUUUCCUUCAUUUGUAUUAAUAAAGUUCGGUGGCGACUUUGUUCCAACAUAUUUUUUCGUGAGCGUGCGAUGCACUUCGCGAAUGAUUGUAUAUUUUGAGGUACGUCACAUGCCUUUCAAUUAGUAGAAUAUAUUCAUCAUUCAUUGAAAGUAUGUAUAAGAUAUAUGUAAUGACAAAAAUAUUUUUGAGAUGAAAACAUAAAAACAUGUAAUGUUAUGAAAUUUAUAUGAUAUGUUAUGAUUAUUUUUAUGAUAAUUUGAGCACUUGAGAUAUAUAAUCAUGAGAUAGCAUAUUAUACCAUUUUUGUUUGAUCAUCCAUAACUUAAUCUUUUCAGACGAUUCUUCAUUCUUUUUUAUUUGAACAUGAUUUUACCAUCUUAAUUGUCUUCAUCAAAACAUCUUCUUUGAAAACUUGAAAUUAUAGAAACAAGACAUGCCAUACUUUUGAAGAUCACGAUAAACUCGAAAAUGUUACAACAAAACAACGAGGAGACAACAAUGCCAUGUACUAAAACACUUGGAUAAACAUGAUAAGUACGGUAACAAAGCACGUAGAUACUAAGUAGAUAGACUAUAAAGAUGAUAAAUACAAUUUUAUUACAAAUGAAUUUGAGACCAAUAUUGAUGAUGGCAUUCAAGAUAUAUGUGGAUUGAUGUUAGUGUUGCCUACAAUAUUUGAUUAGAUAUCAAAAGUAUUUUAUAUUUUAUGUACAAGGACUCGUGCGAUAAACAGUGUUUUAUAAAUAUUUAUCUUUUACUGAAAUAGGGUUUUAUAAGUUAUUUUGAUAUGAACUACGAAAAAUGUUGAAAUCAAUAAAAGAUAAAAUUCAGCACGGAUAACAUGAUGGUUCGAUUAUAGUGCAUAUAUCAUAACCAAAUGUUUUCUCAUGAUCAACACAUGUAGCUUUUAGUUAGAAUUCCAUAUUAUCAUGUGUCGGUUAGAAAAUAUUAGUCAUUUCUAAAUAAUAUUAUGAGAUUGAUGACAUUGGUGGAGUCAGAUAAAAAAAUUUGGGAUGACCGCUAACGUAAAGUAAAGAUUAUAAAUAAAACGUAAAUAGUAUACUUGUAAGAGCUCUUUUUGAAUUUGAUGUGAAAUAUACUUGCAAUUUUGUGGAGAAUUUUCCAACACAACUUUUGCAACUUCAUCAUUAUAGGAUGCUAAAAGUUUCAAUAACUCAAGAAAGUUACCUUGAUUUCUUGAUUUGCUACUUUCGUCGUGGCCCCUAAAAGCACAAGCUUGUAGUGUUAACCAACGAACAGUGUCAAUUGAAGUCUUGAGUCAUAACCGAUUAUUCAUUCUUUGACUUGAACUUUGCACUUGAAGAAGAAGUACGAUAGGCCAAUCUGAGGGUCGUUACUGCAAAUCUUGUUGUAACACUUCCACUGAAUCCACUAGGGGGUACUGGUACAUAAAUAGUGACUCGGCCACCUCUUGAGGGGGGGUCCCAUGUAUCAAAAUGUUGGUAAUACGUUCAACAUGCUUGUCAGUUGAGAUAUAUGAUUAUCACGAUGCUUUCUUCACUCCAAAAGCUAAUUUAGUUUAUGACGCCUUUGGACCAUCGACUACUGAAAUGGAGACAAAGCUUUGUGAUCUAGAGGAGAGGAUAAAAGCUAUCUAAGGAUCUAGUGCCUUUGGGUUGGAGACUGGAGAUAUAUGCCUAGUGCUUGGUGUAAAGAUUCCUGCUAAGUUCAAGGUCCAAGUCUUCGAAAAAUACAAAGGGGUUAGGUGUCGAAAAACCCAUAUCUGGUCCUUUUGCAUGAAGAUGGCUUCUCAUUCUUAGGAUGAGAAACUUUUAAUGCACUUCUUUCAAGAUAGCCUCAGUGGGGGAUUCACUUGAAUGGUAUAUGCAGCUUGAACGCACGCAUAUACGAACUUGGAGGGAGUUAGUUAAAUCAUUCCUGAAACAUUAUCAGUAUAAUUCAGACAUGGCUCCCAACCGGACUCAACUCUAGAGCCUCACUUAGAAAUCAGGUGAAUCAUUCAAGGAGUAUGCCCAACAGUGGAGAGACUUGGUUGCCAAGGUUCAACCUCCUCUUCUGGAAAGGGAACUGGUAGGCAUGUUCAUGAAUACCCUUUAGGGGCCUUAUCUUAAUAGGAUGGUUGGAAGCGCCUCCUCAGGUUUCUCAUACCUGGUCAUUUGUUGGUGAUCGGACUGAGAACUGUUUGAAGAUCGGUAAAAUCCAAGACACAAUUGUUGUGGCUAAGGGAGCAAAGAAACCCCACUCCGGGUCCCUAAAGACGAAGAUAGAAGAAGAAACAAGUGUUGUCAUGGAAAAUAUUCAAUCUCAGUUUCAAGCACAUGUGGAUCUCGUGCCAUGCUACCACUAUAUUGCUACGGCUCAUUACCAACAGCUUCCGCUCUAACAGCCCAAUCAGGAUCAGAUGGUCCGACGUCAUAUACAGGAACUGGUACCUCUCUUGGAUCGUCACGAUGGGGAGGGACCAACCGUGGAUGCAAAACACAAUAAUACCACUCCAGAUAACCAUCUUCUACAUCAGAUGGAGUGGUGGCCAGGGUAGAUGGAUCGAUCACAUCGAUAACACUCUGAUGGUAACUAAUCCAAUCAACAUCAAUAUCCGUCGCCAUCAUACAAUCAAGAGGUGGGGAUGGAACAUACUGCCUAUACCCGAACUGACGUAAACAUCUGUCAGGCAAGUAUGGACUGUUCACCCACUUCAAACGCCUCUUGUAAAGACAUAUUCUCAUCAAAUAGACGUCAUGCUCUAUGAUCCUCAAAUGGACGCCAUAUGACGUCGGCAGGUGUCAGCUCGUCCAAAAUAGGUCGUAAAUCAUCAACCUUCAGGACUCCUUGCCUAUACGACCAUCUCAUCGCUCGGGGAAGACCACAGUUAUCAACAGGUUUCCAAUUCUCCCCUCUUUUUCCAACAGUUGGAAAGUAUUCGUGAAUCCAACACUGUUACAAAAUACAAACAUAAUAAAUAAAUAAAAUUAAGUUAACAUAUUUUAUAAAAUGAAUCCAACACUUAAUAAACAAAAUUAAAUUAUAUACCUGUAGGAGAGUAGGAUAUCCACCGAGCUAUUUGCAACUGUACAUGGACGCAUCUCCAAGAUAUAUGUAUAGGGUAACUAGUGCAGCUGCUCCCCAACUAUAUCCUGAACAUCUAUCCAAGUCCGUAAACAGGAGGAGGUAUCGUGCCUCUACAAGUGUAAAGGUCUUAUCGGCAAAUAUGGUGGAACCCACCAACAUCAAUAGAUAUGCUCUGGUCGCAUAUGCACAGUUGGAAGCAGCUCUAUGAUGUACGAAUAAAUCGUAUAACCACUCCAACUUGUAAUACGAACUCCUGCAGCUACGGACAUGUGACUGUGACUCACCCUGUGACACUCCUAGGUAGUCAACAGGAAGCUCAACAGCUACCUCUUCCGUCACAUCCUGAGGGCUCCAGAAGAUACCCCUGAUGGGCAAGUGAAGCAGACAUGAGACAUCAUCCAAAGUAAUGUUCAUUUCACCUAACGACAUGUGAAAUGAAGAUGUCUCUAGAUGCCAUCUUUUCACAAAUGCAGAGACAAGAUUUGUGUCUAUCUUGUUCAGACUGGUUCUCUGAAGUGAAGAUAAACCAGAUCUAGAUACCCAACUCUCCAUCUAUGGUGGAAGAGCCAAUGGAACCCUAGAUGUCAACUUCAGUCCAUGUCCAGCAACCUUCAACUCUUUCUUUGGACCUCUUUCCUAAAAACAAUUAAAACACAUGUUAGAAAACACAAUAUAAAACAUUCAACUAUUAUUCAUUUUCAAAUAUAUCCCGUUUAUUUACCUCACCGAACCAUAAAUGUCGAGCAACAUGAUGCUCGUACUUCACCAAAAGAGACGUAUCGUACGGUCCUCCUGGAUAUCCAGCCGGCUUAGCUGCAGAUGAAGAUGCGCCCCGGUCUAACGUGCGGACUGGAAUCCUACCAUCUGCACCUCAUCUUCGAACCACUGCAAAUUUUUUUUAAAAAAAAAUUAUUAAAAAUUAUAAAAUAAAAAAUACGCACCGGAACACUUCAAAGAAGAGUUCCGGUGAUUUAAAAAAAAAUGAUGACUACCGGAACACUUUUUAAAAGAGUUCCGGUUUAGACCAUCCAAACCGGAAGUCUUUAAGAAAGACUUCCGGUAUACAACAAACCAAACCGGAAGACUUUCUAAAAGACUUCCGGUUCAGUAGGAACACUUUUUAAAAGAGUUCCGGUUUAGACCAUCCAAACCGGAAGUCUUUAAGAAAGACUUCCGGUAUACAACAAACCAAACCGGAAGACUUUCUAAAAGACUUCCGGUUCAGUGCCCCAAAAGGUAACAAACCGGAACUUUUUAGACAUGUGUUCCGGUAUACAUUAUGUGAACCGGAAGACUUACUAUGAGUGUUCCGGUUUACAAUACCAAAAAAUGAAAAAUUUGCUUUCCGGAAGUCUUUAGACGAAAAUGGUAAAAAAAUUUAGAAAUAAAAAUAUACGCUAUUUAUAUGAGGGUAUUUUGGUCAAAAAAAUUUAAGUGUAAGGGUGUGGGUACAAUUAUAGAAAUACGGGCUAAAGUUUUCCUAAAUAAUCCAAGGUGAAUCCAGUAUCUUAAUGGAUAUCCUAAUGGAGCGAUACACUCUCCUAUUCGAACAAAACCGAAAAUAUGCCGCCGAAUCUCCUAUCUUCAACCCUAACAUUCACCCAGUCAAGCUUGCCAUUUCUCCAUUUGAAACGAAUAUGAGCGGCCAUGAUUCCAGCUCAAUCAUCUGAAUCGACUCAAGCUUGCAAUAUCAACGCCGAUAAUUAAAUCGCAGCAACAAGGAGCGUCUAUGGUUCACGUCUUCUUAUGGUUCUACGGAUUACAUUGCAGAUCGUGACUCAGAGUAGCGUCACAUUUGGAAUUCAACAUCCUCUCAUCUCAGAAAAUUAAAACAAGACUCAAGCAGAAGUUGACUAUGCUUGAGGUUCAAUUAUCGGGAUUUAUCGUCUUCAACGCAUCGAAACAGAAACGAAAUCGAGACAAAAACUAAAAUGGAGCAAGGGAAGAACUCACCGGUUUGAAGUGAUUUCGACGCGGUUGCUCCGUCGAUGAUAAUGAACUGAAAAGGAUGGGCUUGAAUCAGGUUAUAACUCCUCUUCUCUUUGUCGCACCUAAACUCCGCCGCUAAAUCCAACUCGGAGCUCGAAUGCACUCGUCGAUGCGUAGGAUUCCGGAAUCAUUCGCUCCUCAUCAAAGCUCCAUGGUUCGGCCAAGAUUUACAAAGCUCUGAGGCUCAGUUAGAAACUCUGAUAGAUAACAGGUAUGAUUUCCCUUCUUCUUAUUCAACUCUUCAACUCUUCUGCGUUUUGAUUACUUCUGUGUCGCAUUGUGGAAUUCUGCAGAUAGAGGUUGCAGAAUCAAGGUGAAGGUUGUGCAAAACCGAAUGGUUGGAGAAGAGGUGGAGAUGGAGGUUUGAAGGUGUGUAACAGAAUGAAGGUGGUGGAGAUUGAAGAUGGAAACGAGAUCGUGGAGGUUUUUGCAAAAAUGGAAGUUUUGAUGCAGUAGAGAAAAUCCAACGCCCCAGAAGCAUACAGGUACAUUUAUAGUGAGUUUUUCCUAUUAACAGAAUCAGAUGUUGUUAGUUAUUCUCAGAAUGAAUCAGUUAAGAAAAUCGAUUAUGUUAUGACUCUGUUAAAUUUUCAGUGAGUUAGUUAAGAAAUCUGUUAGGGUUAGUUAGAAAGCUGCAAUUUCAAUUAGAUGGUUUUCAUUCCCUAUAUUGUGUUUCUGUUAUUUGAACUUCUGUCAUGGAAAUGAAUUAUGCAGGUCAUUCCAUGGUUUCUUUUCUCUAGUUUUAUGAGGAGCGCAGCAAGAUUGUGAUCGGGAUAAAGUGUGACGGCGUCAGGCUCAUCAGCCAGGACAUAUGCAACCCUAGCAAUAGUCUUCACAAGCCCUUCGAGAAAUGGUUUCACCGAAGUUCUUGAUAGCAGAAACCUCCCUUUUUUUAUAUAACAGGUGGAUGCAAUGGUUCAUGUGUGUAGGUUGGAUCUAAUGGACGUUGUACUGUAUUAAUGAAUAAUGGUUAUAAAUAUUUGAAAUUCAUAUUGGUUGUUAAAUGGAUACUUAUUAUGUUGAUUGGUUACUUAAAUGCAUUAAUGGACAUUAGAACAAAUUCUAAUACUAAUCUUUAAAAAA
rnacentral:lncRNA from 1 species